CGUAUCAGCCAAUUAGUCUUCUACCCACCUUGCCGAAACUAUUCGAAAAGUUGCUAACGAAUCGACUCCUUCCACUCCUAGAGGAUCUGAAAACUCCUAGAGGAUCUGAUCAUUAAUUCGGUUUUCAGAAGCAACAUUCCACAAUAGAACAAAUCCACCGAAUAACACACAAUAUCAGCAAAACACUCGAAAAGAAAAAAUACUGCUCAACGUAUUCCUUGAUAUUCAACAGGCAUUCGACAAACUAUGGCAUGAAGGGCUUCUUUACAAACUUAAAAAAAUCCUACCACACACUUACUACUCCAUCCUAAAGUCCUACUUAAACAAAAGACAAUUCAUGGUUAAAUACUUAGAUGCCAUUACCACAACAUUCCCAAUAGAAGCGGGCAUAACCCAAGGUAGUGUUCUCGGACACCUGCUGUUCUCCAUCUACACUGCCGAUUUACCAACAGCAACAGAAAUAACUAUACCAACUAUACCAACAUUUGCUAACGACACAGCGCUAUUAGCGUCCCACGCCAACCCGAUAAUUGCCUGAUCCACUCUCCAGCGAGGUCUCGACUCAAUGUAAAAGUGGUUCCAUAAAUGGAGCUUCAAAAUUAAUGAAAAAAAAUCCACAUAUGUAACCUUCACGCUGCGAAAACCUGUCCACGGGUCUCCAUUAACAAUAUAACAGUUCCUAACAAGGACACAGUCGGAUACCUGGGC
rnacentral:misc_RNA from 1 species